AAUUGAUCGAAGCAUUGGAACUAAACUAGGAGCAUUUGAUAAAAGGACAUAGAACUGAAAUAAUCGUAGACAUGUGCAUGAAAGUUAAGUGUGAGAAAUGCAAGAAGCCCACUUGGAAAGGGUGCGGGAACCACAUUGAACAGGUGAUGAAGGACGUACCGGAAGACCAGCGAUGUAAGAGCCCGCGGAAGUAGCGCAUGCGGCACUUUAUCGACGGAUUUCCGGACAUGAACUUGGCCAUGGAUUUAUAUUGAUUUACAGCAAAUCCCUAUUAAGUUGCUCACUGAUCCUCUGUGCCAGUUGUACUUUUGCUUUUUAAUUAUUUUUUUUGUUUUUAAAAUUUUUGAUAGAUAAAUGUUGUCAAUGUUUUGCGUUUUUAAAUAAAUGGAAUGUACAAUAAUUAAAAGCAUAUGCAACUAAAUACCAGCGGUUACGUCUCUUUGAAUUACUCAGUCUUUCAUCGAGAUGACUGCAAGGGAACAAACUCUUGCAUAAAUUGUUGAUCGCUA